GGGUCCUGGGGCUUAGGGUGCAGAGGUCCCUGUGCAGUGGGAGCUGCUUGGUUGGGUGCCCCGUGCCCUUGGCCCUGCCCUGGCUCCGUCUGGCCACCAGGCUCCGGGCUGGCCCUGGGGCCCCUUCCUCUGCUUCCCCCCAGCCCAUGGGACCUGAGCUCUGGCGCUGCCUCCACUUCCCCUGGCAGGGAAACAGUGACUCUGCCUGGAAGGAAUUUUCCUGCUGUCUCCCCUCCCUGCAGCUUAACCCUUCCCCAGCUGGCCAGGGGCCACGGCCGGCUCCUGGGGUCAAGGAGCUGGACACCCUGCUGCUUCCUCUUCUUUGCCAGCCCCCCUCCUCCUCCUCCUCCUCCUGUGGCUGCCGGAGCAGCGCCGUGGAGGGAGCGGCACCAGCUGAGCCCAAUCCUGGCCCUGUUCCCAGGCAGUGCUGGGUCACUGCACCCCACAGACCCACCUGCACCCCACGGAGCCCGUAGGCUGCCCUCAAGGACUGGGACGUCUGUGAUCCACCACUGCCGGGCCAGGAGGGUCCCUGGGAGCCCCAGCCCGUGCCCGCUCCCGCGCUGCCCAUCCCUGAUGGUGCAAUCCCGAGGUGCCGGCGAUCCCCCCGCCGCAGCGGUGAGGGCUGUUAGUGCUGCUGC